rnacentral:lncRNA from 1 species
GAGGUCUCAUCAAUUUGGGCCUGAGGAAAAUUCAGGUGGAAGACAAUUAAAUAACUAACCACCUCCGCAAGGUGCAGAACUCAAACCCAAGUCUCCCUCCCACGCCCUGGGCUCCAGGGAAGCCCUUGGGUGUUGUUGUUGAAACAGGACGAGGCGUGACCCCGGGUCUGCGUUGUUUGGCGUGGGUUCUCACUAUGUUGCUUAAGCUGGUCCAGAACUCAAGCCAGUCUCUCACUUCAGCCUCUUGAGUCGUUGGGAUUACAGAAGCCACCAUGUCCAACUAGACAAGAUCUUGUUGCCCAGGCUGGUCUCAAACUCCUGCGUUCAAAUGAUACUCUCGCCUUGGCCUCCAAAAGUGUUGGGAUUGCAGACCUGAGCUACUAUGCCUGGCUGAAUUCUAUUUCUAUUGGAUUGGUUGUAAAGAAGUGCAUUGUAGCCUGCAAAGGAGCAGGGCCAGUGGGGUGGAGAGGGCAGAAGUGCUACAGAGGCCCCUGCUCUCCACUGCCCUGACUGCUACUGUGCUGGAUGCCGUGUGAACCACAGCUGCAUCUGGAGGCCUUGGGCAGCACCUAACAGGAAGCCAGAGUAGGUCCUCUGAAGGUGUUUGUUCAAUGAACUUGUCAUCCUCCUCAACUUAAAGCCUUUAGCUUUUCCAAUUUGGAGGCACAAAUAAGUGAGAACUUGGGGAUCCACUGAGGUCUGAGGCACGGUGGUACCAGAGGAGAUGAAGGGGCUUUCAGCAUGAAGCUGGUCCCCUGUCGACAGCACGCUGAUUUUCCCGUUGGGCUCUAUCAGCAUGUCCACUGUGAGGUUGGUGACAUUGUCUGCAGGUGGGAAUGCUUCGAUCACACCCCCUGGUGGGAAAAACAUGGAGUAGGUGAAAGGACACAUGCAUUUUGUUUGACUUGGGCUCAGAUUCUGCAUCUGCCAUGUCUU